GGGAGGGGUGUGAGACAGUCUGAAGAGUGUGAUGUAGGCCUUUGUCUGCUGGAGCUAUGGAAGACCAAGGGAGCUGCUGUUUCUUAGUGUGUGGUGGCUCUGAAGAGGGGCUUCCAGAAAGCUUGUAUUCUGUGGAACUGGUCCCUGCUUACAGAGGGGUUACUCCAUCCUUCCUGAGAUGAAGUGGUUUUCUUGGUGAAACAGACAAGUUUGGAGGAAAGUGGUAACAGGCUCAGUCUCUGGGUUAUGUAUUGAAGAAUGGCUGUUCCUAUUCUUAAGGGAUGUUUUAGCACUCAGACAAGCUGAACUCAUUCCCCUGUCUCCAGGAAAGCCAACAAAUUGGUGCAAAAGCAACGUGUUGUUCUGCUAAUGUUGGGUAGGCAGAAGUGGUGGUAAUAACUUCACAGUUAAUGCAGUGCAUUUGUGACGCUUUGUGAAAGCACAGAAACAAGAUCCUAAAGCCAUGGGCUUCUAUGGGAAGAAGGCAGCUGGAUCACAACUCGCUUCCAGUUCAGAGCAUUCUUGUAGCUGGUCGGCAAGUCUUCGUGCUUGCUGAGAUCCACAGAGCUCCACCCGCUGGUAGAUGACUGCUCCUAAAACCUCCACAUGCAAAAAGCUGAAUGUGUGUGAAUGGAG